UUGUAUGGGUACUCAUUGAUAUCUGAUGGCUCAAGCAGAGAUCAGGGUGAGGUGCUAGCUGAAGCUCUAAAGAUGAUGAUGUGCAAUGAUAGGCACUCACUUGACAUGCAGAAGGCUGCAGCGUUCAUAAAGCGUUUAGCCACAUUCUUGUUAUGCUUUGAGUCUGCAAAGUCCAUGGCUGCCUUGGUCACUUUAAAGCAUCUCCUAUUAAAUGCCGGGUUUUGUUGGAAAAUGAUCCUGGAGGUGGCUCAGUAUCAGGUUCUGUUGCAGUAAGCAAUUUACUGCUUCCAUGCAGAACCCUUAAUUGAUGCAUGAUAUGUUGGAUUUAAAAUGGAGAUGAAGGAAGUAAGGCUAAAAAGAGAAGUGUCUCCUUUCUCCGUGAUGCAAUUUUGGGUGCAUAAGAGAGAUGAACGCAUGCUGUCAAGGUCCAGAAGGUUCUAAAAUUCCACCAAUGGAAAAGUCUCAAAAUGCUUUAACUGUUGGUCCAUCAUUACGACUUCAAGGAUUGUCAAAGUUCUCAACAAACUUGCUUCAGCUUGAGCUUCAGGAGCAGGUAGCGGCAGCAGAGUCUUGACGGAUUUGGUAGAGGGUCUAGAAGAAGCAGCCGUUGCUGUAGAAUUGAGGUUGAAGAUCAACCAGAGUCAUCCGGACUUAAAGGGAGGAUCUUUCUGAGACUAUGGAGAGGCAGUGUUGAAGCACUUGGAGAACUCUAUUGAUUUGGACCCAAAGCUUCAGAAAGCUCCAGUAAAUUAUGAAGGAGUCCGGGUAUCUGGGUUUGGAGGAUAGUUCCUUCUGAGGCUCUCGCUUUAUGAUCCUGUUCUUCCUCUUAACAUUGAGGUAGAGGAAUCUCUUACACAAGCUACCAUAAAAAUGAUUUUAUUGGAUUAAGAAUUCAAAUCAAAAUUUACCUGC